ACGCUGGCGGCAGGCUUAACACAUGCAAGUCGAGCGGGGAAAGGUAGCUUGCUACUGGACCUAGCGGCGGACGGGUGAGUAAUGCUUAGGAAUCUGCCUAUUAGUGGGGGACAACAUUCCGAAAGGAAUGCUAAUACCGCAUACGUCCUACGGGAGAAAGCAGGGGACCUUCGGGCCUUGCGCUAAUAGAUGAGCCUAAGUCGGAUUAGCUAGUUGGUGGGGUAAAGGCCUACCAAGGCGACGAUCUGUAGCGGGUCUGAGAGGAUGAUCCGCCACACUGGGACUGAGACACGGCCCAGACUCCUACGGGAGGCAGCAGUGGGGAAUAUUGGACAAUGGGGGGAACCCUGAUCCAGCCAUGCCGCGUGUGUGAAGAAGGCCUUAUGGUUGUAAAGCACUUUAAGCGAGGAGGAGGCUACUAGUAUUAAUACUACUGGAUAGUGGACGUUACUCGCAGAAUAAGCACCGGCUAACUCUGUGCCAGCAGCCGCGGUAAUACAGAGGGUGCGAGCGUUAGUCGGAUUUACUGGGCGUAAAGCGUGCGUAGGCGGCCAUUUAAGUCAAAUGUGAAAUCCCCGAGCUUAACUUGGGAAUUGCAUUCGAUACUGGAUGGCUAGAGUAUGGGAGAGGAUGGUAGAAUUCCAGGUGUAGCGGUGAAAUGCGUAGAGAUCUGGAGGAAUACCGAUGGCGAAGGCAGCCAUCUGGCCUAAUACUGACGCUGAGGUACGAAAGCAUGGGGAGCAAACAGGAUUAGAUACCCUGGUA
rnacentral:rRNA from 1 species